ACCUGCUGGCCCCUCCUAAACAUACCGACCACAUGUUUGCAGCUGCUGUCCUGUUCAUGCUCCAGGGGCUGUGGGACUCUGGACUCCCACUUCUUCACCUUUCAUUGGGAUGGAUCCUCUCUUCAGGCUCCUUCUGUGUGAACCUUGAAGGAUUGAGAAAAUGGAGAGAGAGAGGGGAGGAAGAGGAGAGACAGAGGGGCAGUUCAUCCCUGCCCAGAGCAUUUGGUGAACAGAAGCCCCUCAUCAUCAAUGUGGGCUCCACUGUGACUCCGUCUCCAGUCAGGAGAUUUCAGUCUAGGGAGGAAGAAUGAUGUGCAACACAAAGCCACCUCAUCUGUGACAGAGAAGAGCCUGAAUGGAGCCAGGCUCUCUGGGUGUGGUCUCACGACAGCUCUGCAGAAAUGGCAAGGGUCAGCAGGGUCUUGAAGGUAAGGGGCGGACCAUAUGCCGGAAGGGACAGACAAUGCAAAGCAACAAAGUGACAAUGUUAGUGUGUUCUGGGUGUAAAUGGCAGGUGUGUGAGGGUUGAAAAGCCUGUCUCUCUCUCUGCUUCCUGGCUGCCAUGUCUUGGUCUGCUCUUCUCUGCCUUUCCACCAUGAUGUUCUGCCACAUCUCUGCCUGCACAACGGAGUUGGCCAUCCAUGGACGGAACCUCUGAAACCAUGUUCCCAAAUAAAAUAUUUCUUCUCUAAAUUGUU
rnacentral:lncRNA from 1 species